ACCAGACUCCUACGGGAGGCAGCAGUGGGGGAUAUUGCACAAUGGGGGGAACCCUGAUGCAGCGACGCCGCGUGGGUGAAGAAGUAUUUCGGUAUGUAAAGCCCUAUCGGCAGGGAAGAAAUUGGACGGUACCUGACUAAGAAGCCCCGGCUAACUACGUGCCAGCAGCCGCGGUAAUACGUAGGGGGCAAGCGUUAUCCGGAUUCACUGGGUGUAAAGGGAGCGUAGACGGCCAUGCAAGCCUGGAGUGAAAGCCCGGGGCCCAACCCCGGGACUGCUCUGGGAACUGUGCGGCUGGAGUGCGGGAGGGGCAGGCGGAAUUCCUGGUGUAGCGGUGAAAUGCGUAGAUAUUAGGAGGAACACCAGUGGCGAAGGCGGCCUGCUGGGCUUUAACUGACGCUGAGGCUCGAAAGUGUGGGUAGCAAACAGGAUUAGAUACCCUAGUA
rnacentral:rRNA from 1 species